rnacentral:rRNA from 1 species
GAUGAACGCUGGCGGCGUGCCUAAUACAUGCAAGUCGAGCGGACAGACGAGCAGCUUUCUCGUCGGACGUUGGCGGCAGACGGGGAAGUACAACGUGGUUACCCUCCCUAUGAGCCUGGGUAAACUUCGGGAAGCCGGGGCAAUUCGCGGUUUAUCUAUUGAUCCGCAUGGUUCAGUACGGGAUGGCGUUUUUGCUGUCACUUUUAGAUGGGUCCGCGCCGGCUGAGCUAGUUGGUAAGGUAAGGGCUAUCCAAGGCCAAGAUGCGUAGCCGGCCUGAGAGGGUGAGCGGCCGCACUGGAACUGAGACACGGUCCAGACACCUACGGGAGGCAGGAGGAGGUAAGCUGUAGUGAUGGGCGAAAGCCUGACUGAUGAACGCCGCGUGAGUGAUGAAGGUCUGCGUAUCGUAAAACUCUGUUAUUAGGGAAUAGCGAAUGUGUAGGUAGUUACGCACGGCUUGACGGUACCUAAGCAUAAAGCCACGGCUAACUACGUG